CCUUAACCAAAGAAGCAGCCAGCUUGCUGGAAGCGGAAAAGGGAAAGGCUUAGUGGCGGACGGGUGAGUAACGCGUGGGUAACCUGGCCCAUACAGGGGGAUAACACUUAGAAAUAGGUGCUAAUACCGCAUAACAACAGAAAGCGCAUGCUUUUUGUUUGAAAACCAAGGUGGUAUGGGAUGGACCCGCGUCUGAUUAGCUGGUUGGCGGGGUAAAGGCCCACCAAGGCGACGAUCAGUAGCCGGCCUGAGAGGGUGGACGGCCACAUUGGGACUGAGACACGGCCCAAACUCCUACGGGAGGCAGCAGUGGGGAAUAUUGCACAAUGGGGGAAACCCUGAUGCAGCGACGCCGCGUGAGUGAAGAAGUAAUUCGUUAUGUAAAGCUCUAUCAGCAGGGAAGAAAAUGACGGUACCUGAGUAAGAAGCCCCGGCUAACUACGUGCCAGCAGCCGCGGUAAUACGUAGGGGGCAAGCGUUAUCCGGAUUUACUGGGUGUAAAGGGAGCGUAGACGGCAGUGCAAGUCUGGAGUGAAGGGCGGGGGCUCAACCCCCGGACUGCUCUGGAAACUGUACGGCUGGAGUGCAGGAGAGGUAAGUGGAAUUCCUAGUGUAGCGGUGAAAUGCGUAGAUAUUAGGAGGAACACCAGUGGCGAAGGCGGCUUACUGGACUGUAACUGACGUUGAGGCUCGAAAGCGUGGGGAGCAAACA
rnacentral:rRNA from 1 species